CUUGGGGCUCUCUUUUCCCUUUAAAGGAAUGAGAUUGCUGGUUUUAAUCUGCUUCCACGGCCUGAAACAACUCCUGUGUUCAGGAGUUGUUCUCUCCUGUCAGGGAGACAACUGCAGUUUGGGAAUCAGUUCUCUGGGACCUGCAACCUGCCUGGCAAGGAAACCUCAUCAGGCUUACUGGAAGCAGCUUCUUCCCUGUGAGCAGGAGAGCAGCUGCUCUCUGCCUGUCUCUGCCUCUCAACAGAGAAGCAAAAGGAUUGCCUCUUUCCUGCAUUUUGAAGAACCUUCCUCCUCAUCCCACCUGAAGAGAGAUACAUGCCAAAAUCUUAAACUCCAGAAUGUCCCAGGUUGGAAGAGAC
rnacentral:lncRNA from 1 species